CCCUUUUUUCCUUUUUGGGUGUUCAGAGCUCCGAGAGCAGAGGGCUGAGUGGGAGGGAGGCAGCAGUGGGCUGUCUGCAGGGAGGCAGGGAGGGGGUGUGGGGGAGCCAAGAUGUGGGUGGAAACGCUGCUAUGGGGAACCUUUUGAGGGAGAAAGAAAAUGUAGUUAUUUUAGAUGCAUGUUGGGAGGGGUAGCAGGGAUACGCUGGGGGGGGGACGACGACGACGACGACUGGAUCUUCCUCCAGAGCGUUGGAGCCCGGCCCACGGGUGGACACGUGGGUGAGUCGUAGCCAUCUGCUCCUUGGCAGGGAAGUCCUGGCUUUCUCAGCCCCCUGGGCCCCCCAUCUACAGGUAAGGACACAUUCUCCUAGGUCCUUCGGGGACUCUGCUGCGUAGAGGAGGCCAGAAGCGUUCGUGACACACCGACACACCACCAGCCUCACUCACCACCCUGCCUACAGGGAUUCUCUGCCCAUCAAGAUGAACCUCAAAUAAAAACACGGCUCAGUGUGCCAAGCUGUGUCUCUGGGAGACCCCCAGCCACCCGCGAAUGGGGCUGAGUCACUGUGUCACCCUCUUCCAGGCGCCCACGGAGGGCAGCUCACAACCGGCUGAUUCCAGUUCCAGGAGAGCUGACAACCCUCUUCUGGCUUCCACAGCCCUGUAGGCCCCAAACACCGGGUUCCAGGAAGACAGCAGAUGGACAUCCUGAGGCAGCCUUGCUGUAUCUACCCUCUUGUCUCCGCAUCAGGUGUGCGUAGAGCCUGUCUGGCCAGCUAUGGCAGAGGCAGGGAGAUUUGGAGUACGGCCUGGCUGAUAUCCCUGUAAGAUUUGAAGUUGCUGUCAGUGUCUUCAGUCUGGAAGCUCUUUGCUUGUCCUCUUUAGAGCCUUGCUCCUACUAGUCUGUCCGUUCCUUCUCCAUGCUCCUUUCUCCCUGCUCCACCUCCCCACCCCCAGUUCUGUCUCAGUCCUCUCCCACCUGAGUGUGCCACCACCACUAGGCUUUGUCUCAUUUGACUGUCUUUCCCUCGAGAACAAACUCCACCUUUGGAUCCCUGCGAGUGGGUAGGAAUUCAUUAGGUUCUUGUUGAAGCAGUGACUAGACGGGUUGAGGAUGGAGGUCAGUCUGGAGUGCUAGUGCUUGUCCGGCCUAUAUUAAGCCCUGGGUUCAGUCCCUGGCACUCGUAAAUCACUCAUGGUGGCGCAUGCCUGUAACCACAACACUCAGAAGGUAGAGGCAGGAAGAUCAAGAGUUUAAGGUUAAUCUUGGCUACAGACUGAGUUGAAGGCUAACUUUGGACACAUGACAGUCUCUCCCCCAAACCCCCGCUUUUUUUUUUUUUUUUGGAGACAGGGUCUCCAGGAAGCUGGACGGCUCAGCAGUUUAGUCAGGUUUAGGAACUGAGGUCUGUUGGCUUAGAAUGGCUGAGAGUCUUCGUGCCUGCAAGAUGGCGGUGGCCUCAGGCCCACGGUCUGGAAUCCAGUCAACAGCGUUCCAAGGAACGCAGCGGAAGGCUCUGGGUUGCUUGUACUUAUGGAAACCUCUCUUUGGUGGGAGGCAAUUCCUUCUAGAAAUAAAUAACGUCUUGCACUCUAAGCCAGAACCGUGCUGUGUGCCCCUUCGGAUUGCAUUGUGGUUUGGAUAUCUGGUGUGCUGCCCGAAGGCUCACGUGUUGAAGGCUUGGUCCCCAGCUGCUGCCAUCGAGAGGGGACUGGAUCGUCAGGAGCCUAACCGCUUUAAUCAGUGGGUUUGUCUACCAAUGAGUUCAUAUCGGAUGGGCUAGCAAGACGCGGAGUAGAAGGAAGUGGCUCACUGGAGGCCAGGCCAUCAAGUCUUUGUCUUGUCCCUAGACUCUACUCACUCCAAUCUCUCUCUCUCUCCCUUUCUCUUUCUCCCUCCCCCUUCUCACUCCAUCUCUCCCUCCCACCCCCUCCUUCCUCCUCACUAGCCACUCCAUCCCUCCCCCUCCCCUAUUUCUCUUCCCCGCCUCCAUCUCCCCCCAGUCUCUUUCUGGUUCCAUGAGGUAUUUUCCUCUGCCAUACCCUUCCACCACGCUGCCAUGAUGUUUCUGUUUUGUCACAUACCUAACAACAAUAGAGCCAUCUGGUCACUGACUGAAACUUCUGAGCCAAAAUAAAUCUUCCCUCUUUUAAACUGAUUUUUCUCGGUGACAGAGAGUGACUAACACAGAUCAAUUUCUGGCAAAGGGUACAGUAAUUACCAGGAUUGGAAAAGAUCAGUUCUGAUUCAUCCUUGGCUCUGGGGGUUGUCCAACAAAAACAGUGUUCUUUUGAUUGUUUUUCCCCCCUCUUUAAAAAAAAAUCUAUUUUGGGCAGGGCAUAAUGGUGUAAACCUUUAGUCCUAGCACUUAGCAAGCAGAGGCAGGCAGAUCUCUAUGGACCACAGGCUUUGGAUACCCGGAAAGCUGCAGGCUCAGGUGGUUGUGAGCCGCCUAAUGUGGGUUCUGGGAAUUUUGAACUCUGUUCUCUGAACCAGAAGUAUGAGGUUUUGUGGUUGUUUUGUUUUGUUUUGUUGUUUUUCAAGACAGGUUUCUCUGUGUAGCCCUGCCUGUCCUGAAACUUGCUCUGUAGACCAAGCUGACUUUUGAACUCACAGAGACCCUCCUGUCUCUGCCGCCCAAGUGCUGGGAUUGAAGACAUGUGCCACCACUGCCCUGCGAAAGUGUGAGUUCUGAACUGCUAAACCAUCUCUCCAGCCUCUCUUGGUAUCUUCUUUUGGGGUAGGACAGGUUUGGUUGUUUUGAGGUGGGGUUUCUUGUACGUGAAGCUGGCAUCAAACUCAUCCUUUAACUGGGGAUGACCCUGGAUUCCUUCUGCCCCCAUCUUUCAAGUCCUGGGAUGACAGGCGGGUGCCACUCCAGUUGAUAUUUCCUUCUUUUUUUCCCCUGAGGUCUGUAAUCUAGGCUGGCCAGGAGCUCACUACAUAGUCCAAGCUGACCCUUAAAUUUGAGAUGAUCCUCCCACCUCAGUCUCUAGAGUGCUGGGAUGACAACCAUCACACUCUACAGAAGUGGGGUCCCAAAGGAAAGCAGAGGGGCUGUCCACGGCAUGGGCGAUUGAUGGCAUUUCCACUGAGUUAGUAGAAGUUUUCUCGGGACUGCUUUCUUGAGCACUUCUGAGGUGCUUCUCACAGCUUCAUGGUGAAGUGUCCCACGCUGGUACAGUCCCUAAAGACCCCACAGUUAAUAAUAAUGCUCUUAGUGGGCUGGAGAGAUGGCUCAGAGGUUAAGAAUGCUGGUUGCCCUUCCAGAGAUCUUGAGUUCAGUUCCGGACAACCACAUGGCGGCUCACAACCAUCUAUAAUGAGAUCUGGUGCCCCCUUCUGACAUGCAGGCAGACAGUGUAAAAUAAAUAAAUAAACAAACAAACAAACAAAUAAAUAAUACUCUUAGUUUGGCUGUGAUAAAACACCAUGACCAAGGGUACUAUA